rnacentral:rRNA from 1 species
UACCCCACUAUGCCUGGCCCUAAAUCUUGAUGCUUUCCAUACAAAAACAUCCGCCCGAGAACUACGAGCACAAACGCUUAAAACUCUAAGGACUUGGCGGUGCCCUAAACCCACCUAGAGGAGCCUGUUCUAUAAUCGACAAUCCACGAUACACCCGACCACUCCUUGCCAAAACAGCCUACAUACCGCCGUCAUCAGCCCACCUUUAUGAAAGCACAAUAGUGAGCCCAACAGUCCACCCACUAACAAGACAGGUCAAGGUAUAGCCUAUGGAGUGGAAGAAAUGGGCUACAUUUUCUAAAAUAGACAAAUCCAACGAAAGGAGGCCUGAAAUCUGCCCCAGAAGGCGGAUUUAGCAGUAAAGAGGGACAAUAGAGCCCUCUUUAAGCUGGCCCUAGGGCACGUACAUA